GAGUCAGAAAAACUGGAAGGUGUGUGUGAACCUUCAUGUUGGACUGUUUUCACAACCUCGGUCAGUACAACAGUGGACUGGCUGAAAGACUGUUCCUGAAAGAGGGAUUCAUACCAACUGUCUGUGGAGAGACGGCAGAGGAAGUAACUGUGACCUGAUGAAGCUCAGGAGUUCCUGGACCCAUCAGAGGACAGAGACAGCUGCAGCAUCAGGACAGUCUGGGUAUCCAAAGGAAGACUCAUGAA